UCGGCGGCUGGCAGGCUACAGGGAGGUUCGGAAACCCUCCGGUGGGAACCAGGAGUUUCUGGUCAAAGGCUGUUCCACGCCUUCAGGGUCAGUCCUCGCUGCAUCCCUGUUCACCUUCUUCUCUCUCGGUCUCCAGGCACUUAGGGCAGCCUCACUCGCUAGCCCGCUGGGCGCCGCCACGGGUCUGGGGCACCAGGGCGGGGACGGGGAGAAGACAGCCGAUUGUUGAAGAGAGCUUUACUCCUGCGGCAACCCCGCCACCAUCCCGGCUACUGCUGCUGGUCCAUGACAGCGCUGAGGGCUUCUGACAGGCUACCACUGCGACCUCGCGGAACAUGUCUCCCCUAUCCUUUGGGUGAAAUGCUGGACAAGCCCCGCCGAUCGCUCUCCACUAGCCAGAUCUGGCCAACUUCAGUGCCUGGCCCCCGUAAAGAAGAUCAGAGCAAGAACCUCUGCAUUUGUUGGUAGCUGCCAAAGAGUAAGAACCUCUGUGGGGUACUGCAUUGCUGCUGCUGCCACAAACCCAAGGAGAAAGACCCAGAAAGACCAAGGCGUUGCAGCAUCAUGUGGGAUCUUAGUUCCCCGACCAGGGAUCAAACUCGCGCCCCCUGCAUUGGAAGCGUGGAGUCUUAACCACUGGACCGCCAGGGAAGUCCCUCAUAGAUUUUUUAAAGUCAUUUCACUGGAUGUACAAAAGGGCCAAUAGUAAACCCUCCAUGGGAGUGGUCACUGCCUCUUUUCAGUUUCAGGGUUGCCAAGUAAGGUACUGUGACCUAAAAAAUUAUCCUCCUGGAUACUGUUGCUAUCUUAAUCUUAUGAGUCCUAGACACUUCAAUGGAAAUGACCUUGUUAUGGGAGAAAAGAGCAUGGCUAUGCCCUUAGGCAGAUUGCUUCUCCUCUCUCCCUUACUUUAUUCAUCUGCAAAAUGGGGCUGAUCAGUCCCACCUUGAUUGUCUUACAAGGUCUCACAAGGAUCCAACAAGACAAAGCAUGGUCUUUGUGAACCAAAAAACACAGGCCAAAUAAUGUGGAUACCAAAAAAACCAACCAACCAAACAAACAAAAAAACACCAGGCCAAAUAUCCAUCAAAUAUUUAUUCUCAAGUCUAAGAAAUAAAAAUAAAUCAAUACAAAUGAGAGGCAGGGCUAUGGACAAGGGCAUAAUUCAAAUAUAAAUUUAGCCCAAGUACCAUUUCUGUUGCCACUAAGAAUAGCAAGAGGAGAGAUGGAACAGAGGGAUGGAAGUAUGGAUAGCAGUAGAAGAUGUCCAACUUUCUCCCCUUAGUUUGAUCACCACCUGAAGUUCAGCCACCUGCCCUGUUCUGCAUAUUUUGAAUUUUCAUUUUUGGUUUUCUUUUCUUUUCAGGUGAUUUCCACAUGGGAGAUAUGGGGACUAAGACAGUAGGGUAAGAGGAGAAACACUGUCUCCUCCUUAGGGAUAGAUCUGAGAGCCAGCCAAUGAGACUGAAAGGAUCCAUGAGAUGCAAGUCCAAUCCUCUCUGAGAUGCUGCUCACAAGCCAAGUGACCAGAGUCCAGAGUCCACAGCUGGGUCCUGGGCCCCUUCAAACUACCUCACAGGGUUGUUGUGAGGAUGUCACGAGAUCAUGUGCCCAACACAGUAAAGAGCUCAAUAAAUGUCUCUUGAACAGA